AAGAAUUCCCAAGUACUGAGGG
rnacentral:miRNA from 1 species